UAGGGAAUCUUCGGCAAUGGGGGGAACCCUGACCGAGCAACGCCGCGUGAGUGAAGAAGGUUUUCGGAUCGUAAAGCUCUGUUGUUAAGGAAGAACGAGUGUGAGAAUGGAAAGUUCAUGCUGUGACGGUACUUAACCAGAAAGGGACGGCUAACUACGUGCCAGCAGCCGCGGUAAUACGUAGGUCCCGAGCGUUGUCCGGAUUUAUUGGGCGUAAAGCGAGCGCAGGCGGUUAGAAAAGUCUGAAGUGAAAGGCAGUGGCUCAACCAUUGUAGGCUUUGGAAACUGUUUAACGUGAGUGCAGAAGGGGAGAGUGGAAUUCCAUGUGUAGCGGUGAAAUGCGUAGAUAUAUGGAGGAACACCGGUGGCGAAAGCGGCUCUCUGGUCUGUAACUGACGCUGAGGCUCGAAAGCGUGGGGAGCGAACAGG
rnacentral:rRNA from 2 species